rnacentral:lncRNA from 1 species
UCUGAGAAGGAAAACCAACUCAUUAACAGAAGACGAGUCUCAUCAAGCAUAAAAAGAAAUACAUAAGACAAUGUGCUAGGUAGGGAAUUAGUAAGAACGCUUUCGUAAUACAUCUUACUUCAGACUGAAGGUUGCACCUCCAUUUCUCCAUUAUUCUCAGGAUUUUCCUCAGAAGUACUUCCAUGAGCAUGUAGAGGCAUCUUUGAAGCUGAUCCCCAUCAUGCAAUAUGGUAAAAUUCCAGAUUUUCAGUUGGAGAUAAGUUUUUAAAUGUCAAGGUUUUCCAUUUAAGAGCAUACAAGAAGUUUCCUGCUCGAGCUCAAAGAAAGCCUUACCAGGGGUACAGGAAACGGGCGAUUGUGGUACCUCAUCUUUCACAGGUCCCAUACAUGAUUCUGAAGGCUUGUAAAAGAGCAAAUGAGCCACAGUUCGGUCUAC